GAGCUCCCUCUAUCACUAGUCGUGUUUUUAAAAAAAGCUGAUGGAGAACCACUUUGUCUUGAUAAGUAGUAGAUAUCCCAUGCCUUUUGAUAUAUGUUAUUUGCCCCUGGUGCACAUCUACAUGAGGUGCAGUUGUGGUUCUAAUCUGUUACAUAUGCAUGGAGAAACAUACUCAUCACUUUUGCUAAUAGUAGGAGCUCACAUCAAGCACAACUGCGUCCUAUCAAAAUUUUAAACUCUUUAGAUGCUGCUUCUGGAUUAUGAAUUUGGGCUUCUGACAAAAAAAGGCUAAGUAAUUAUUCAACAUGAAGGCAUUUAGCAUUUGUAUAGUUCUGUAGCUUUAACGGCAUCAAUGUAAAUUCAGCAAAGCACUUAUCUUUACUCAAUCCGCACACAUGUAGUUUCUUUUUCUUGAUAAUGCUUCAUGUUUGUUGAUAGUGAUCAUUUUAGUUUUUGUGUGCCUUGCUUUGUUUAUUUUAAAAUCUACUAUUUUGAUGUCUUUUUUCGUUCUUAUUUUGUACAGUCCUACACUAGGUGGAGAACACAGCACAUAAUCAAACAGUGUUUUGCUAACUUGUGGAACAUCUGGGUGUUUUCCGUGUGUAAUUAGCACAAACAUCUUAAAAUAAUCCUUCUAUAAUUGCUAGCAUGUUAGGAAUAUAUUGUCGUUUCUAGAUAACACGGAUUAGCAAUCACCUAUUGCUUGAAGCAUUGGGAGGGGAAGACCAUACUGUAAAUAAAAACAUUUAGGGUGACCAUCCAUUUUUGUAAUAAUCACAUCGCCAAUAGAAAUACUUUGUUUGAAGGCUUGCACCUGAUCAGUUGCAGCCAGGCUAAUACUACUGUCCAUAAAAUUUGUGGUAAAAUUUAGCUAAGUUUUGUCAGGGUAUUGCUGAAAGCCAUAAUUGCAAAUUUCAAGUGCACUUACUGUUGCUUCUGUACUCGAAACGAGGUGGCGGAGCCUAACGUGAUGAGCGCUUGUAGGUAACAAUGUUGGGCUAGAUGAGAAACAAAUGGAACUAGAUUAUCAGAGGAGGAGGAAGAAGCAAUCCUAACUGUUGAACUUAGAUCGAGUGGUUGUGAUGAUCGCCUGUAUAAGUGGAUGAUUUCAGGUGUCAAGCAAAGGUGCAGGCAGAGGCUGCAUUCAGAAGCUUCAGGAAUAGAUGGACCAAAGCCGUGACCUGAAUCUUGUCUUGCAGUACUGCAGGAAGUGAAUGCACACCAUCCUAACAGAGAAGGUUCAUAUAUGUUUGACAAUUGGUGGAAAGAUAAGAUUUUAACAUGCAUUUUUCACCCAUGUGCUAGAUUGGAUCUAGAAAACAUUGUAUCUUUGCUAGAAGUUCUCUCCUGAUAUUACAGCAUUGUCGCUAGCAAACCAUCUGUUCUGCCCGCGUCAUGAACAAAACCUGAUCGCGCGUGGCCAGGAACAGAAUAUACUGGUUUAGCAUUUCCAUUACAUAGACGCCUAUCAAAGGUAACAAGUAAUUGAUUCUUUCCGUAAAUAUGAAGUCUGAUAACUAUUUCAUGCUACUGAGUGAUCUCUGUAAAGUCCUGCAUCAAACCUCUGUUUCUAUUUUUACAAAUUUGCUCGCCUCAUUGUAAA